AGCGAACGCUGGCGGCAGGCCUAACACAUGCAAGUCGAACGAAGCCUUCGGGCUUAGUGGCGGACGGGUGAGUAACACGUGGGAACGUACCUUUUGGUUCGGAAUAACGCAGAGAAAUUUGCGCUAAUACCGAAUGAGCCCUUCGGGGGAAAGAUUUAUCGCCGAAAGAUCGGCCCGCGUUGGAUUAGGUAGUUGGUGUGGUAAAGGCGCACCAAGCCUACGAUCCAUAGCUGGUCUGAGAGGAUGAUCAGCCACACUGGGACUGAGCAACGGCCCAGACUCCUACGGGAGGCAGCAGUGGGGAAUCUUGCGCAAUGGGCGAAAGCCUGACGCAGCCAUGCCGCGUGAAUGAUGAAGGUCUUAGGAUUGUAAAAUUCUUUUACCAGGGACGAUAAUGACGGUACCUGGAGAAAAAGCCCCGGCUAACUUCGUGCCAGCCGCCGCUGUAAGAC
rnacentral:rRNA from 1 species